rnacentral:rRNA from 1 species
CACACUAUCAUUAACUGAAUCCAUAGGUUAAUGAGGCGAACCGGGGGAACUGAAACAUCUAAGUACCCCGAGGAAAAGAAAUCAACCGAGAUUCCCCCAGUAGCGGCGAGCGAACGGGGAGCAGCCCAGAGCCUGAAUCAGUGUGUGUGUUAGUGGAAGCGUCUGGAAAGGCGCGCGAUACAGGGUGACAGCCCCGUACACAAAAAUGCACAUGCUGUGAGCUCGAUGAGUAGGGCGGGACACGUGGUAUCCUGUCUGAAUAUGGGGGGACCAUCCUCCAAGGCUAAAUACUCCUGACUGACCGAUAGUGAACCAGUACCGUGAGGGAAAGGCGAAAAGAACCCCGGCGAGGGGAGUGAAAAAGAACCUGAAACCGUGUACGUACAAGCAGUGGGAGCCUCUUUAUGGGGUGACUGCGUACCUUUUGUAUAAUGGGUCAGCGACUUAUAUUCUGUAGCAAGGUUAACCGAAUAGGGGAGCCGAAGGGAAACCGAGUCUUAACUGGGCGUUAAGUUGCAGGGUAUAGACCCGAAACCCGGUGAUCUAGCCAUGGGCAGGUUGAAGGUUGGGUAACACUAACUGGAGGACCGAACCGACUAAUGUUGAAAAAUUAGCGGAUGACUUGUGGCUGGGGGUGAAAGGCCAAUCAAACCGGGAGAUAGCUGGUUCUCCCCGAAAGCUAUUUAGGUAGCGCCUCGUGAAUUCAUCUCCGGGGGUAGAGCACUGUUUCGGCAAGGGGGUCAUCCCGACUUACCAACCCGAUGCAAACUGCGAAUACCGGAGAAUGUUAUCACGGGAGACACACGGCGGGUGCUAACGUCCGUCGUGAAGAGGGAAACAACCCAGACCGCCAGCUAAGGUCCCAAAGUCAUGGUUAAGUGGGAAACGAUGUGGGAAGGCCCAGACAGCCAGGAUGUUGGCUUAGAAGCAGCCAUCAUUUAAAGAAAGCGUAAUAGCUCACUGGUCGAGUCGGCCUGCGCGGAAGAUGUAACGGGGCUAAACCAUGCACCGAAGCUGCGGCAGCGACACUAAGUGUUGUUGGGUAGGGGAGCGUUCUGUAAGCCUGUGAAGGUGUACUGUGAGGUAUGCUGGAGGUAUCAGAAGUGCGAAUGCUGACAUAAGUAACGAUAAAGCGGGUGAAAAGCCCGCUCGCCGGAAGACCAAGGGUUCCUGUCCAACGUUAAUCGGGGCAGGGUGAGUCGACCCCUAAGGCGAGGCCGAAAGGCGUAGUCGAUGGGAAACAGGUUAAUAUUCCUGUACUUGGUGUUACUGCGAAGGGGGGACGGAGAAGGCUAUGUUGGCCGGGCGACGGUUGUCCCGGUUUAAGCGUGUAGGCUGGUUUUCCAGGCAAAUCCGGAAAAUCAAGGCUGAGGCGUGAUGACGAGGCACUACGGUGCUGAAGCAACAAAUGCCCUGCUUCCAGGAAAAGCCUCUAAGCAUCAGGUAACAUCAAAUCGUACCCCAAACCGACACAGGUGGUCAGGUAGAGAAUACCAAGGCGCUUGAGAGAACUCGGGUGAAGGAACUAGGCAAAAUGGUGCCGUAACUUCGGGAGAAGGCACGCUGAUAUGUAGGUGAAGCGACUUGCUCGUGGAGCUGAAAUCAGUCGAAGAUACCAGCUGGCUGCAACUGUUUAUUAAAAACACAGCACUGUGCAAACACGAAAGUGGACGUAUACGGUGUGACGCCUGCCCGGUGCCGGAAGGUUAAUUGAUGGGGUUAGCGCAAGCGAAGCUCUUGAUCGAAGCCCCGGUAAACGGCGGCCGUAACUAUAACGGUCCUAAGGUAGCGAAAUUCCUUGUCGGGUAAGUUCCGACCUGCACGAAUGGCGUAAUGAUGGCCAGGCUGUCUCCACCCGAGACUCAGUGAAAUUGAACUCGCUGUGAAGAUGCAGUGUACCCGCGGCAAGACGGAAAGACCCCGUGAACCUUUACUAUAGCUUGACACUGAACAUUGAGCCUUGAUGUGUAGGAUAGGUGGGAGGCUUUGAAGUGUGGACGCCAGUCUGCAUGGAGCCGACCUUGAAAUACCACCCUUUAAUGUUUGAUGUUCUAACGUUGGCCCCUGAUCGGGGUUGCGGACAGUGUCUGGUGGGUAGUUUGACUGGGGCGGUCUCCUCCUAAAGAGUAACGGAGGAGCACGAAGGUUGGCUAAUCCUGGUCGGACAUCAGGAGGUUAGUGCAAUGGCAUAAGCCAGCUUGACUGCGAGCGUGACGGCGCGAGCAGGUGCGAAAGCAGGUCAUAGUGAUCCGGUGGUUCUGAAUGGAAGGGCCAUCGCUCAACGGAUAAAAGGUACUCCGGGGAUAACAGGCUGAUACCGCCCAAGAGUUCAUAUCGACGGCGGUGUUUGGCACCUCGAUGUCGGCUCAUCACAUCCUGGGGCUGAAGUAGGUCCCAAGGGUAUGGCUGUUCGCCAUUUAAAGUGGUACGCGAGCUGGGUUUAGAACGUCGUGAGACAGUUCGGUCCCUAUCUGCCGUGGGCGCUGGAGAACUGAGGGGGGCUGCUCCUAGUACGAGAGGACCGGAGUGGACGCAUCACUGGUGUUCGGGUUGUCAUGCCAAUGGCACUGCCCGGUAGCUAAAUGCGGAAGAGAUAAGUGCUGAAAGCAUCUAAGCACGAAACUUGCCCCGAGAUGAGUUCUCCCUGACUCCUUGAGAGUCCUGAAGGAACGUUGAAGACGACGACGUUGAUAGGCCGGGUGUGUAAGCGCAGCGAUGCGUUGAGCUAACCGGUACUAAUGAACCGUGAGGCUUAACCUU